GAGAUACCUUUAUGGGGCAGGACUUGCUUCAGUGGGGCUUUGGUGCUCACUGUGUCUGAUCCUUGAGUGUGUCUCU
rfam:Myotis brandtii contig300509, whole genome shotgun sequence.